rnacentral:ncRNA from 1 species
UUAGGUAGAGGCGCAAGUCUUAAAAGUAUUUUUCACCGCAACCGCUCGUAACGGGGUGAAAAAGAAAGGGAGAUUUGCCGAAACCGCGCAAAAUUCGAGUUUUGCGAGAGGUUGGGCGUCGGGAGAAUAUUCCGCCGACUGUCGUUUGUUUUCAAACGGAGGGCUAUCGUA